AGCGAACGCUGGCGGCAUGCUUAACACAUGCAAGUCGCACGGGCGGGGGCAACCCCGUCAGUGGCGGACGGGUGAGUAACGCGUAGGGAUCUAUCUCUGGGUGGGGGACGAACCGUGGGAAACUACGGCUAAUACCGCAUGACACCUGAGGGUCAAAGGCGCAAGCCGCCUGGAGAGGAACCUGCGUACGAUUAGCUAGUUGGUGGGGUAAAGGCCUACCAAGGCGACGAUCGUUAGCUGGUCNGAGAGGAUGAUCAGCCACAUUGGGACUGAGACACGGCCCAAACUCCUACGGGAGGCAGCAGUGGGGAAUAUUGGACAAUGGGCGCAAGCCUGAUCCAGCAAUGCCGCGUGUGUGAAGAAGGUCUUCGGAUUGUAAAGCACUUUCGACGGGGACGAUGAUGACGGUACCCGUAGAAGAAGCCCCGGCUAACUUCGUGCCAGCCGCCGCAGUAAU
rnacentral:rRNA from 1 species